UUGAAAGGGAAACGAUUGAAGUCAGUCGUACCUAUGGGUAAUCAGCCUUUUGGGUGUGAUUUUGUGGAGCGUGAGGAGUUAAAUGCCUUCAUGCCUGCAUAUUCGUGCACUUUGGGUGUACUUGCCCGUGUGUAAGUUAACAUCAAUUUUGGUUGUCAUAAAAUGGCUGGAGGAAUGUAGCUUCGAUCUUGUAUUGAAGUGUUAUAGCCUUCGGUAGAUGUGACGAUCGGGAUUGAGGAUUGCAACGGAUACCCUUCGGGGCUACCUGUCUGAUUUCUGAUUGUUGCUCUGGUACCGAAAGCUUGCUUACGGUUAUCAAAGUCGAUGGUCAAUAGGUUAGAACGGGUUAAAUUCGUUAAGGAUGUUGACGUA
rnacentral:rRNA from 1 species